AUUCGGAUAUGCAUUUCAUUCAUCCAUGCGUCCGCCUGCCUGCCUGCGCUUCCAUCCAUCCAUCCAUCCGUCCGUCCAUCCAUCCAUCCAUCCAUCCAUGCAUCCUAUUUCCAGCGAGACGUCAGAGAACUCACAGUCUUCUUGGGGAAGAGGUCAUAAACUUGGGCCUGGGUGGUUGCCCUAUCCAACUGAGGUCGCCUUUGCGAUCCCUGCUGCAAAUAGGCAGUGACUAGUCCAGGAGUGCAGCUGGGAGGAACUGCUCGCCGGAUAGAAGGGAAGAAAGGAGAUUCUAGGCAGAGGUACAGCAGGUGUAAGGGAUGUUGCAUUGUCUGUUUGAUAACCGGAAAUUGGUGGCCUGGAUGAAGUGGGUGGAUGGGGACAGAGAUGAGAUAGGGACAGCUCGUCCUUCCAGGCCCUGUUCUUUCUCCUCCCUGCAGCUCACUCUUUCCCUAGUGAGAAAGCCCCAAUAGGACGCCUUCCCUAUUUCUUUCUUUUUUUUUUGUUUUUUUAGCUUCAAGCUUCAAAAGCAUUUCUUUUUCAUUCUUUUUUUUAAUUAUUAUUAUACUUUAAGUUUUAGGGUACAUAUGCACAACAUGCAGGUUUGUUACGUAUGUAUACGUGUGCCAUGUUGGUGUGCUGCACCCAUUAACUCGUCAUUUAGCAUUAGGUAUAUCUCCUAAUGCUAUCCCUCCCCCUUCCCCCCACCCCACAACAGUCCCUGGUGUGUGAUGUUCCCCUUCCUGUGUCCAUGUGUUCUCUUUGUUCAAUUCCCACCUAUGAGUGAGAACAUGCGGUGUUUGGUUUUUUGUCCUUGCGAUAGUUUGCUGAGAAUGAUGGUUUCCAGCUUCAUCCAUGUCCCUACAAAGGACAUGAACUCAUCAUUUUUUAUGACUGCCCCUAUUUCUUCUAAGUUUUUGAUCAGGCUGUUUUCUCAACCCAGCGUAAUCCUCCCAGCCACUCCCGACUGUUUCCAGAGCUUUAGGAGCCAGGGAUUGCAAACGCAAGUACCUACAGGCGCAGACAUGAGCGACUGGGGUCGCAUGUAAAGUGAUAGAGAGGGUGGAGAAGAGGGGAACUGGAGACAUCGUGGGCUGUGCGUGGCUGGAUGAUAUUCAAAGAGAAGCAGGACAUCCAGAAAUCUUCCAACUUUUAAAUGUUUGAAACGAAUUCCCAAAAUUCGGAAAUAUUGAAUGGGCCAAAUGAAACACACUUUGCAGACAAAUCUGGCCCCCAGACCAUAGGUUGGCAACCUCUACCAUUGAGAAUAUUGUUUCAGUUCUUAACUUGUCGGCCUCCUGCCUCUGUCUAGAUUGUCUUUUUUCUCUUUUCUUUUCUUCUCUUCUCUUCUCCUUUCUUUCUUUUUCUCUCCCCGCCCUUCCUUCCUUCCUUUCUUCUUUCCUUCCUUCCUGCCUUCCUACCUUCCUUCUUUUUUUGACAGAGUCUUGCUCUGCUGCCCAGCCUGGAGUGCAAUGGCACGAUCUUGCCUCACCGCAACCUCUGCCUGCGGGGUUCAAGUGAUUCUCCUGGCUCAGCCUCCUGAGUAGCUGGGAUUACAGGCGUGUGCCACUAUGCCUGGCUAAUUUUUGUAUUUUUACUACAGACGGGGUUUCAUCAUGUUGGCCAGGCUGGUCUCAAACUCCUGACUUCAAGUGAUCCACCCACCUCAGCCUCCCAAAGUGCUAGGAUUACAGGCAUGAGCCACCGUGCCUGGUGAUUGUCUUUUUUCUAGAAUCCAAAUCCUUUGGGAUCAUCAGGUCUGUAAAAUACAAAUGGGGUUGGGUUGCUGUCUUACAUAAAACUGCCAAGGACUUCCUGUGUACCAUCAGGGUAAAGUCUAACCUUACUUAUCCUGGCAUUCAAAGCCCUUAACAUUUAGAGCCUGCUCUCCAUUCCCCUACAAAGGACCUCUCUUCUCCAUUCGGCCUUGACCUCAGCCACGCUAUUCUAGGACAUCUGCCUCUGUCUUUUUUUUUUUUUUUUGAGACAGGGUCUCACUUUGUCACCAAGGUUGGAGUGUAGUGGUGCAAUCAUGGCUCACUACAGCCUCAACCUCCUGGGAUCAAGUGAUCCUCCCACCUCAGCCCCCUAAGUAACUAGGACUACAGGUGUGCACCACCAGGCUCAGCUAAUUUUUGUAUUUUUUGUAGAGAUGGGGUUUUGCCAUGUUGCCCAGGCUGGUCUUGAACUCCUGAGCUUAAGCCUUCCAUCCACCUCAGCCUCCCAAAGCGCUGGGAUUGCGAGUGUGAGCCACCACGCCCAGCCCUGACAUCUGUUUGUUUUUGUUUUUUUUUUUUUUCUGAGAUGGAGUUUCACUCUUAUUGCCCAGGCUGGAGUGCAAUGGCACAAUCUUGGCUCACUGCAGCCUCCGUCUCCCGGGUUCAAGUGAUUCUCCUGCCUCAGCCUCCCAAGUAGUUGGGAUUACAGGUGUGUACCACCACGCCUGGCUAAUUUUUGUAUUUUUAGUAGAGAUGAGGUUUUGCCAUUGUUGGCCAGGCUGGUCUUGAACUCCCGACCUCAGGUGAGCUGUCCACCUCAGCCUCCCAAAGUGCUGGGAUUACAGGUGUGAACCACCUCACCCGGCCUGACAUCUGCUUUUGAUACCUCCACGCCUUUGUCUACUCGGUUUCCUCUGUCUGGAACACCUUUCCCUUCCUCCUUGUUUUCCAAACAAGUUCUCUUCUAAGAACUCUGUGUCUUCCCUUCCUCUCCCACACUCCUUGUCCUGCCAAUGUAGAGGAGUUUCGGAUUUCAUUCUAACUUUGUUCUAAUCCUCUCCAAGGCCUUAGUGCCGUAAAUAAACUAAUAGAGGGAUUUGAGUUAUUGGGUGUGCAGAAGAGGGGGCUGGAGAGGGAGAAAGCAGGAAGAAAACAUUCUGUGUCUAAAAGCUGAGUCUCAGAAUGUUAGCACUUAGAGAGCACUUUCCUCUUUUUGCAGAGGAAGAAACAGACCUAGAGAGGGGAGGAGUCAAAUCAAGCUUUGCAGUGCCCCUAGCCACAGUUAAUCAAGGGUUGCCCAGUUCAAGGCCACCUUCUGCGGAAACCUUCCCUGAUUCCUUAUCUGGGGCUUUGAUUACCCAUAGUGCAGUUAGUAAAGGUUUGCUGGCAUGCAUUGUGGGUAAUUAAGUCCCCCUCCCGACUCCCUCUCAGUUCUACAGGGAGGGAAGUCCUGGUCCCCAAAGAGGGUAUGCUCUAGCCAGGGGACACAGCAUGGGUCCCAUUAAAUUUAAGCUGUGGCCGGGGCUGGGAAACUUUGGACUCCAUGUGUUCUGGGACCAGCAGGUGAGAAGAGAGGGCACCAGCAUGGCUGCACUAACUGACCCUGGUCAGCAGAGAGGGCAGGGCUGCUUUUACAGUGGGAGGACAAGGAGGAAUAUAUGGGAAUCCAGUGAUCCAUGGGUUACAAUAACCAAUAAUUUAGGUCCCUCAGGACUGAAGGGUCGGGUCACAUCACCAGGUAACCCACCAAGGCCUGCCAAGGCGACGGUGGAGAGUGUGGAUAAUUUAGAAUGGAUAGUGAAGAAAGAAAGAACAAGCGCUGGUUAUGGCCUCUCGAUAACUGCAGCAAGGAGGCGGGGGCUCUAGCAUGUUCCACUAAUCUCCCUCUUCAAAGUUUUCCCAUAGAAAGAGAGGCUCACAGGAUCCAUGGUAGAGCUGAGUAGUGCAAGGGAUGGAAGGUGACGGCCCUGAAAAUGUGCCAUUCAGACCUCUGACUUCAGGAAAAGUCAUUGACCAAGGGCAGCAGCUGUGAAACCCAUCUGUGGUUCACACAGGAAGGCUCUGGUUUGCUUCCCACGAGCUGAUCCCAGCCAAAGAACUAAGGCGCGUCUGUUCGUGGAGACACAGGACUCCUCGAACAGGCAGCUUUGGAUCAAGGACUCCCCCUUGACUUUGUAAAAACUUUCUCACUGCACUGCAGUUGAAGACUCUUCCUCUCCCAUCAUCCUUCCUUCUGUCUCUCUUUUCCACGUGUUAGAUCUAGUACAGUCUGAUGAUCUUCCCAGCUUCCUCUUCCUCCCUCCUUCUUGGUCCCUCCCAAGGGUUUUCCUCAAUAAAUCAUUUGCACAUCUGGCCCACCUUGCCUGCUUCUCAGAGGAUGGAACCAACACAACACAUCUGAAGAGAGGCACAGAAGUGGUGACUUUGGGAGGCCAAGGUGGGCAGAUCACCUGAGUUUGGGAGUUCAAGACCAGCCUGGGCCAACAUGGCGAAACCCCAUCUCUACUAAAAAUACAAAAAUUAGCUGGGCAUGGUGGCACGCACCUGUAGUCUCAGCUACUCGGGAAGCUGAGGCCCAAGAAUCACUUGAACUGGAGAGGCAGAGGUUGCCAUGAGCCAAGAUUGUGCCAUUGCGCUCCAGUCUGAGCAACGGAGUGAAACUCUGUCUUUCAAAACAAAGCAAACAAAACCAAAAACAAACAAACAAAAACAAAAAAAGAAGUAGCAGCCUGCAAUGGUGCAGUCCUUUGUCCCUGACGCCUAGGGAUAAGCCACUCUUGCCAGCUCAAAGGUGCCACCUCUCCAGAGAGGGUCUUGAUGGGUAUAAUUUGGAUAGCGGAACACAAAGAAAAAACUUAGCCAUGAUUUUAUUUUCCUUCUUUCUUCUUUUUUUUUUUUUUUUGAGAUGGAGUCUUGCUCUGUCACCCAGGCUGGAGAGCAAUGGCACAAUCUCGGCUCACUGCAGCCUCCGCCUCCCAGGUUCGAGCAGUUCUCUUGCCUCAGCCUCCCAAGUGGCUGGGAUUACAGGCACGUGCCACCAUGCCCAGCUAAUUUUUUUUUUUUUGUAUUUUUAGUAGAGAUGGGGUUUCACCAUAUUGGUCAGGCUGGUCUCAAACUCCUGACUUUGGGUGAUCUGCCCACCUCGGCCUCCCAAAGUGCUGGGAUGACAGGCGUGAGCUACCUAGUCCAGUCUCUUUUCUUUUUUUAAUUUAAUUUUUAUUUAUUUAUUUAGUUUUAUUUAUUUAUUUAUUUCUUGAGAUGUAGUCUUGCUCUUCUCCCCCAGGCUGGAAUGCAAUGAUGCGAUCUCGGCUCACUGCAACCUCCACCUCUCGGCUUCAAGCAAUUCUCCUGCCUCAGCCUCCCGGGUAGCUGGUACUACAGGCUCCUGCCACCACGCCCAGCAAUUUUUGUAUUUUUAGUAGCGACAGGGUUGUACCAUGUUGGCCAUCCUGACCUCAGGUGAUCUGCCUGCCUUGGCCUCCCAAAGUGCUGGGAUUACAGGCAUGAGCCACUGUGUUCAGUUGGCCAUACUGAUAGACUCCAGGCUUUGGGAAACUGAUGGCAUUUGGGGAUUUCCCCAGCAUGUCCUGUGAUGCUCUUGAUUCCUUGUGUCUCCAGUCAUGACAGAGAGAAGGCAUUCCUGGCUUGUUGGUCCACAUUUAUGAUUUGUUGAUGUUGUUGUUGAGAUGGAGUCUCACCUUGUCGCCCAGGCUGGAGUACAGUGGCGUGAUCUUGGCAACCUCCAUCUCUUGGGUUCAAGUGAUUCCUCUGCCUCAGCCUCCCAAGUAGCUGGGAUUAAAGGGGCGUGCCAGCAUGCCUGGCUAAUUUUCAUAUUUUUAGUAGAGAUGGGGUUUCACCAUGUUGGCCAGGCUGGUCUCGAACUCCUGACCUCAGGUGAUCCACCAGCCUUGGCCUCCCAAAGUGCUGGGAUUACAGGCGUGAGCCACUGUGCCUGGCCUGUGAUUUUUUUAUUUUUUCAGAAGGGGUCUCGCUCUAUUGCCCAGGUUGGUUCUGAACUCCUGGGCUCAAGAGAUCCUCCCGCCUCAGCAUCCUGAGUAGCUGGGACUACAAGUGUGAGCCACUGUGCCAGGCACAAUGGUCUUUUGUAGUGGAGAACCUCCUCCCUGGGACCACUGGAAGACACAGGCCAAGUUAUUGCUGAUAGGAAAACCAAGAGGUCCAACAGAACCCAAGAUGGAUCGGAUGGAAGAUGGCACAGGUGCCCGGGACGUGCAGCACUGGAGUGGGUGAUGGAUCCUGGAAUCUCUCCAUCCCUUUUUGGAGUGUACAUUCUGCAGUGAGAAACAGUGCCCCAGCACAAGUACUGAUGAGCUCUCCACUGCCGAAAUACAACUCUGUGACCAUGGCCAGCAGGAAGCCACUGAUGAGGGGAAACACAGUGUGACGGUGCCCAGGGAAAGAACCUGCUUCUUUGUGACAUCACGGAGCUGCUGAGCCGCUUGAACUUGGAGCCACUUUGAGUUGGGAAUUCUGGCUUUUUUGCAGCUGAAAGUGUGCCAACCCCGUACAAGAAGAACAGCUGCAGGUCUGCAUGUGGCGGCUCGCGCCAACACUUUGGGAGGCUGAGACAGGAGCAUCUGCUUGAGCCCAGGAGUUCGAUACCAGCCUGGGCAACAUAGUGGGAUCCUGUCUCUACAAAAAAUAAAAGUGAUGAGAAGAAUAGCCCUAAAAUCAUGAGAGUGGUUGCCCCUCGGGACGGCACCAAGGAAAUAGGACUGGUGCGGGGAGUAUAAUAGGAAUUCAUCUUUAUCUGUUAUCCUUUGUCUUUUUAUUUUGAGACGGAGUCUCAUUCUGUCACCCAGGCCGGAGUGCAGUGGUGUAAUCUCGGCUCACUGCAAUCUCUGCCUCCUGGGUUCAAGUGAUUCUCCUGCCUCAGCCUCCCGAGUAGCUGGGAUUACAGGCGCACGCCACCGUGCCUGGCUAAUUUUUUGUGUUUUUAGUAGAGACGAGGUUUCACCAUGCUGGCCAAGCUGGUCUUGAACUCCUGACUUCAUGAUCUGCCUGCCUUGGCCUCCCAAAGUGCUGGGAUCACAGGCGUGAGCUACCAAGCCCGGCCCUAUCUUUUUUAAAAUUAAAAAUAUCUGACACACGAGCCAGGUGCUGUGGCUCACACCUGUAAUCCCAGCACUUUGGGAGACUGAGGAGGGAGAAUCACUUGAGGCCAGGAAUUCCAGAUCAGCAUGGGCAACAUGGUAAGACCUCCGCCUCUACGACAAAUAGCCAGAUGUGGUGGCACACACCUGUAGUUCCAGCUACUCAGUAGGCUGAGGCAGAAGGAUUGCUGGGGCCCACAAAGUCAAGGCUGCAGUGAGCUGUGAUCAUGGCACUGCACUCCAGCCUGGGCAACAGAGUGAGACCCUAUCUCAGAAAAGAAAAACUCUGACAUAAAUGUGAUAAAAUGUUGACACUGUUUCUAUUAUAGCUGUAGGUGUGUGCACAGUUUACAGUUUUGUGUAAAUUCUUUCACUGUUUCCAAAAUAAGUAAAAACUAUUCCAUGGAAGUGUUUUAAAAUGGGAUCUUAAAAAGAAGGAGGAGGAGAAAAAGAAGAAGGAAAAAGAAAGAAGUUUUUCACUAUGUGAUUCUGUUUUCUCGAACUCCUGACCUCAAGUGAUCCACUCGCCAUGGCCUCCCAAAGUCCUGGGAUUACAGGCAUGAGCCACUGCGCCCGGCCUGAUUAUUUCUGUUUUCUAAAGCCUGGUCUGAGAACAACUGGAAAUGCCCUCCUCUCUCACACUCUGAGAAGCACUAGGAUUAGGUAGCAAGUUUGGCUCCCUGGGCCCCGCCACCCUGACCUCCUGCUCACGAUGGCUCUGGGUGCUGGGCUCCUUAGGACUGGGACGAGGCCAUUGCCCCUGGAAGCUAUGCAACAAGGAUCUGAUGGGUCCUGACCCCGCCCAUGCCCAUGGGGGUGUGUGCUGGGGGAGCAGGGGGCAUCCCCUGGACUUCCCAGAAGGAGGCAGGAUUCUCCGAGCUGGCUCCAUCCCAGCUCCUCCACAGGCAUGGGUCAGCAAAACCAGCCCCAGGAAUCGGAGACAUUUGGCAGGAAACAAGUGCUGUCUGGAACACAUCCCUAGGGGGCUGGCUUUAAUGAUGUCCUAGUUUGGGUUUCCCAGAAACUGACCCUGAGACAAGGAUUCUAAAGCAAGUAGUUUGUUUGGUAGGUGAUCCCAGGUAGUGGAGUGGUGGGUCGGUGGGUGAGACAGGAAGACAGCGACAAGCGUCGUGUUACCAACUCAGUCACCACCGUGGGCAAUGGGAGGUGAACCCCACUGAGGAGCUCACAGAGACAGCGUACAACACGCUGCUCAGGGUUACUGCAUCCAAAGGCAAAGGAGCUGGGGUAUUGAUACUCUGCCUGUCAGUCACCGGGGAGAGCUGCUGGGGCAGUGGGGAGGAGGGGAGGCAGCACUCUGGAUGCCAGCAGAGCAGGCUGAGGCCAGAGAAGACCCUGGGAAAAAGAGAUGAGGAUGCUGGCAGGUCGGAGUGGGGAAGGGGUGGGGAAAUGACAUGUCUGCCACCAAUUUCUAGCACUUAGAACAGUGACCAGCUGGGUCUGGCAUGAUGCCCACAUAUUCCUCUGUUACACAGCCUCUGUCCUCUACCUGGUAACAGAACCCCCGUUUCCUCUGGGUACCCACAUUCCCUGAUACAUCCUUCCCUACCCAUUAGGGGUUCCAAUGGUGGGGUUCACUUGUUCGACUGUAGGGGAGGACUUGUGACCCAGCCCCCACUGAUCAGUGUAUAACACCCCCAUGGCCUUAGCAAUUGUUUCUGAGAUUGGUCUGUUCCCUGAGCCAGGCUGGUAGGAUAGAAGCUGUCUUUCUAUGGCGCUGAAAAGCAGUAGGAUGUAAGCCUGGAGUUGCCGCAAGCAGGAAGAACCCCUCAGAGGAGGAGGCCAACACAGCAGACGGCAGAGCCAAGAGAGAGCCCACCCGGCAGCUCAGACACCUCUUCCUCCUUUCUGCAGCCGAGAUCUUGCACUCCU
rnacentral:lncRNA from 1 species